UGUGGCUCAGUCGAAGGGCACUUGCCUAGCAUGCAUGAGGCCCUGGGUUCAAGUUCCAGCA
rnacentral:tRNA from 1 species